UCGUUGUCCGGAAUUAUUGGGCGUAAAGAGCUCGUAGGCGGGCUGUCACGUCGUCUGUGAAAACCUGGGGCUCAACUCCGGGCCUGCAGCCGAUACGGUCAGACUAGAGUUCGGCAGGGGAGACUGGAAUUCCUGGUGUAGCGGUGAAAUGCGCAGAUAUCAGGAGGAACACCGGUGGCGAAGGCGGGUCUCUGGGCCGAUACUGACGCUGAGGAGCGAACGCGUG
rnacentral:rRNA from 1 species